GAUGAACGCUGGCGGCGUGCCUAAUACAUGCAAGUCGAGCGAACGGACGAGAAGCUUGCUUCUCUGAUGUUAGCGGCGGACGGGUGAGUAACACGUGGAUAACCUACCUAUAAGACUGGGAUAACUUCGGGAAACCGGAGCUAAUACCGGAUGAUAUUUUGAACCGCAUGGUUCAAAAGUGAAAGACGGUCUUGCUGUCACUUCUAGAUGGAUCCGCGCUGCAUUAGCUAGUUGGUAAGGUAACGGCUUACCAAGGCAACGAUGCAUAGCCGACCUGCGAGGGUGAUCGGCCACGCUGGAACUGAGACACGGUCCAGACUCCUACGGGAGGCAGCAGUAGGGAAUCUUGCGGCAUGGGCGAAAGCCUGACGGAGCAACGCCGCGUGAGUGAUGAAGGUCUUCGGAUCGUAAAACUCUGUUAUUAGGGAAGAACAUAUGUGUAAGUAACUGUGCACAUCUUGACGGUACCUAAUCAGAAAGCCACGGCUAACUACGUG
rnacentral:rRNA from 1 species